rnacentral:rRNA from 1 species
GUCUGCGGCCAUGCCACCCUGAACAAGCCCGAUCCCGUCUGAUCUCGGAAGCUAAGCAGGUCGCGCCUGGUUAGUACUUGGAUGGGAGACCACCUAGGAAGACCAGGUGCUGUAGGCA